rnacentral:rRNA from 1 species
AUGCUAGGUGGGUUAUUCUCAAGAGGAGUGGACUCCGCUCCUCAUUCACGAGAAAGUGGCGGUAACCGGGAUGCCCAGUUCCAUGAUCAAAAAGAUCAAAAUCAAAUCAAAAUAAUUAAACAAAACUCCCCCAGGAUUGUUGUUAGUUGGAGGCACUCGUUGUUUCGAGCAAGCCAUGGAUUGAUGCUUGUUGGUGGUUGGGGGAGUAUAAACUUUUAUCAUUCUGCGUGGGAACCGCCUAUAAUGUAUGUAGUAUGGAAGAUAUUGGGAACUCUUGGUUGUUAUGUUGACAAUGAGAUCAUACCUCUCAACAUUAUUUAUCUCUAUUUUAAAAAUUGA